GGGAGGAGCCUUGAAACCGACGCCGAACUUUCCUGCGUGACAGUUGGAGAGAGGAGACUGGACUGGAUGCACCUUUGCUUGGAUCAACAUGACAGUAAUCAUGUUCUUACAAAUUUCAGAGUGUAUUUCUUAAAGCACAGGCAGUCUUCCUUGCCAACGAAAGACAAUCUUCCAUUCUAAAAGAAACAAAAAUUUGGGCAUUAAAUAAUAAUAAACAGGAAUUUCAGCUUUUGCUUCAAAACAAUAUGGAGAUGUAACUAGGUAUAGUAGCCAUUAGGAGAACUUAGGACUCUGGUUGGUAGGCAGAGUAUGAGAUUUGGCCUCUUACAUUCUUUAUGUACCAAUACUAUCCUUAGAGUGCUGGUUUAUGCUUGCUUUACUUGUUAUGGGAGAUGGGGGAUUGUCUGAAAAAAAAAGUAGUUGUGAAAAUCUUUAAUUUUGUAAAGAAACAAAGCAAAAAGUCAUCACAGAAUUUUCUUGUUUUCUUCUAUGUGACUGGCAGAAAUAGGAUAGAGUGAAUGCUUCCAUUCCACAACACUUAAGGAAAACUUGUUUCCCUAGAGUAAAUUAUUCAGCUUUAUCUCACACACCUAUGUUACAUACAGAGAAUCCAAAUGUAAGCACAAAUGUGUAUGUGGGAAGGUUAGAGAGCACCCAAAUGAAUAAAAUUUAAACUGAGAUGAUAACCUAAAUUAUGUCUGUCCACCAAAUUAAAGCAAAAUUUAUGCUUAAAUAAUUAUGUUUUUAGUUGAUUCAAGGUUUCAUUAUUUAGAUGGCAAAUAAAGGGUUAAAAGUAAGAUAAUCAUAAUUCAGUGGGAUAAGUUAAACGUUGAUUUUUGUCUCAUUUUGUUGAGCAUGAAUCUUGGCUGCUAAGAACAGUUAAUAUUUUUUGUGUGCAUAGCAAUUAGUUCUGUAUGGAAAGAGAGGAUUUUUGGGACUUGGGUAGAUAGAGGGAUUAAAAUAUGUAAUCUGUGAUGGGCAACAAUGUGUAUAAUAAAUGAAUGAAGUUUCUUGG